AGAACCCUUGUGUGGUAGUUUGCAUGUUAUUGGCCCCCAUAAUCUCACAGGGAGUGGCACUAUUAGGAGGUGUGGCUUUGUUGGAGGAAGUGUGUCACUGUGGGGGAGGGCUUUGAGGUUUCCUAUGCUCAGGAUACUGCCCAGUGUCUGAGUCCACUUCCUGUUGCCUUCUGAUCAAGAUGUAGCCAGCACCGUGUCUGCCUGCAUGCUGUCAUGUUCCCUGCCAUGAUGAUGAUGGACUGAACCUCUGAACUGACCUUCUAGUCAACCAAUAUUAAACCUCCCCUCCUCCAAAUCUUCCUGGAAGGAAUCAAAGCUCCAGAAAACUCUAAAAUAUUACAACAGUGAACACCUACGUGCAGACGGUGAGGGUUCUAAAAUCAGGUGUGGCUUUCAAUCUACAGUAUUGUGUUCAUCGGACCUGGGGCAAGUAAUUUAAACUCUCCAAACUUCCGUUUCCACAGCCAUAAAAUUGUGGGAAUAUACCUCAUGAAGGUCCCAUAAAGAAACACUUAAUAUCUGCCAAAUAAUUGCUGAAUGCCAGACUCAGAUGUAAGGGCUAAAAGUCUUAACUCACUUAGAAAUUACAAGUACCUUGGGAGAGUCCUGUUCAUCCUCAUUCUGAAGAUGAAGAAAGUGACAGACGGGGCUGCAGAGUGGUCACGAGCCCGCGCUGCUUCCAGAAAGACCCAGUUCAGUUUCUGUCACCUGCAUCAGGUGGCUCACAACUUCCUGAAACUCCAAUCCCAGGGGAUCUGACAUCCUCAUCUGGCCUCUGUGGGUGCUUACAUGUGUGUGUUGUGUAUACAUGUACUCAGGCACACAUACAAAUACAGAAAAUAAAGAUAGGCAUUUUGUCCCUUAAAGUGAGGGACAAAGAGGAUUUAAAAAAAUAAAAUGAGUUCAAGGUCACUCAAUGGAAUUGUAGAAUUACAAGUGGAACCAAAUCAUCUCACUGCAAAGCCAGGACUCCAGAGCACUGACCCAGCAAUCUGCCUUAGUGGCAACACCCCACCUUCCCCAGAUGGGUCUGAAGAGCAGCUGGAUUGGGAUAAGGAGAUGAGGACACUGACAAGGCCAGUGUCUUGUCUUGAAUUCUAUUUCCAAGAAUUCCCCAAGGGACAGCAGCAUCCAAAACUCCCUAAGGACCCUGCUGGCUCAGUGUGUGGUCAGUUCUGAACAGCCCUCCACUGUCUAAUUGCCACAUCAUUCAAGCAGCUCAUUUAUGAGAGCUUUUUAUUAUUCCCCAGGGAGUGUGAAAACCUCCUCAUGAAUAUCUCAUCCAAAAUGCCAGAGGCAAGAUUGACUUAGCCAGGAUCUGUGGCAGAUGAGGUUCUGUGAGCUAGAGGCUGGUUGCCCUUAGUCAGGUGUCCACUGUAUGCCAUCACAAACCAAAGAGAACGAGUGCAGCCACAUGAGCCGAGCUUUGAUCUCACAGAUGUUGCAAAAGGCGCUCCAAUACUGCCACUUCAAGCCGUUGACCUCGGAGACCGGAAGAGGGCAUCAGACCCCGAAACUACAGUUACUGAAGACUCUGAGAAGUCCAAGAUGGAGGCAUGUGUUUCACAGCUCAGAGAGGUAAAAGCACAGGCCACUCAGGCCUGACAUCGUGAGUUCAGUCCCCAGAAACCACACAAAAAGCUAGAUGCCAUUGUGUGUAUCUGCAGUCCCAGAACGCCUGUGGUGAGAUGGGAGAUGGAGCUGGGAUCACUGUCUUAGCUAGGGUUUCUGUUGCUGUGAUGAAACACCAUGACCAAAGCAAGCUGGGAGAAAAGAGUUUAUUCAGCUCACACUUCCACAUCACUGUGAUCACUGAAGGAAGAGGGCGGGAACCUGGAGGCAGGAGCUGGUGCAGAAGCAUGAAGGAACGCUGCUUACUGACUGGUUCCCCACGGCUUGCUCAGCCUGCUUUCUAUAGAGCCCAGGUCCAUGCACUAUGGCGGAGCCUGCCCCAUCAAUCACUAACCGGAAAAACUGCUUUACAGGAUUGCCUG
rnacentral:lncRNA from 1 species